CCCGCACCGAAACCGCACAGAAACCGAGAGCGAAACGCACAAAAUUUCCAAUAGAGGCACACUUGGGCAUAUAAAUUUAAGAUGAGGCAUUAGUGGACGGAAGUUCGUGUAACACACAUGAUGAGAGAGAGUCAGAUCAGCAGAUAUGGAAUGCCUCACCCCAUCACUCACUUCACUUGGAACGCUCGUUCCCUUUUCACUCUCUUCCUUGACUGUGCUAUUUUAUGCUGGAGUGGGGAAGGGACAAACUUAGCGCCACAUUUUUACACACACUCACACACACUUUGCUGGACUAAGGCAAUAAUUUUUAAACAUUAAAAAAAAGAAUUUACGCAUAAUAU
rnacentral:lncRNA from 1 species